rnacentral:rRNA from 1 species
UGGGGAAUAUUGGGCAAUGGGGGAAACCCUGACCAGCAACGCCGCGUGAAGGAAGAAGGCUUUCGGGUUGUGAACUUCUUUUACCAGGGACGAAGGACGUGACGGUACCUGGAGAAAAAGCAACGGCUAACUACGUGCCAGCAGCCGCGGUAAUACGUAGGUUGCAAGCGUUGUCCGGAUUUACUGGGUGUAAAGGGCGUGUAGGCGGAGAAGCAAGUUGGGAGUGAAAUCCAUGGGCUCAACCCAUGAACUGCUCUCAAAACUGUUUCCCUUGAGUAUCGGAGAGGCAAGCGGAAUUCCUAGUGUAGCGGUGAAAUGCGUAGAUAUUAGGAGGAACACCAGUGGCGAAGGCGGCUUGCUGGACGACAACUGACGCUGAGGCGCGAAAGCGUGGGGAGCAAACAGGAUUAGAUACC